rnacentral:lncRNA from 1 species
AUGAAUCAUGGAGUGAGCAGUUCAUUGGUGGAGAAAGUGAAAGCAGAGAUUCAAGAAUUCUUUAAUCUUCCAAUUGAUGAGAAAAAGAAGUUUUGGCAGCAGCCAGGAGAUAUUGAGGGAUUUGGGCAGCUUUUUAUUACGUCUGAAGAGCAGAAGCUUGAUUGGGGAUACGGCUUUACUAUGUUCACUCUCCCAACCCAUCUGAGGAAACCCCACUUGUUCCCCAAGUUGCCUCUUCCAUUCAGGUUCUAUACUUAAAUUUUAGACUUUUCUUAUAUAGAAUAUUCUAUCUUAUGAUAAUUACUGGACUAUAUAUUAAGUACCGGAUUAGUCACUUGAUUGUAAACCCAUUAAACAGACACUGAUUUAUCGUUGUUUUUGUCAGCAUUUUAUCAGCUCUCCGUUUCUUUAGCUUUUUCCAUAAAAAUCAUUUUGUUUCCAGAACUUCAAAAUUUCCUUUAUGAACCAUGUAUAUAUGGAAAGAACAUCUUGCUUUAAUUUGCAUAUAUGCAGUUGAUGAAUCAUGGAGUGAGCAGUUCAUUGGUGGAGAAAGUGAAAGCAGAGAUUCAAGAAUUCUUUAAUCUUCCAAUUGAUGAGAAAAAGAAGUUUUGGCAGCAGCCAGGAGAUAUUGAGGGAUUUGGGCAGCUUUUUAUUACGUCUGAAGAGCAGAAGCUUGAUUGGGGAUACGGCUUUACUAUGUUCACUCUCCCAACCCAUCUGAGGAAACCCCACUUGUUCCCCAAGUUGCCUCUUCCAUUCAGGUUCUAUACUUAAAUUUUAGACUUUUCUUAUAUAGAAUAUUCUAUCUUAUGAUAAUUACUGGACUAUAUAUUAUUAUUUGCAUGCAGAGAUGACUUGGAAGUUUACUUAACGGAACUUAAAAAUCUUACCUUGAAAAUCCUUGACCUAAUGGCUAAAGCUCUAAGAAUGGAUCCCAAUGACAUGAAAGAGCUGUUUGAAAACGGGAUGCAAUCAUUAAGGAUGAAUUAUUAUCCUCCUUGUCCGCAACCAGAGCAAGUUCUCGGCUUUAAGCCUCAUUCUGAUGGCUCCGUACUCACCAUCCUCCUCCAAAUCAAUGAGAUGGAUGGUCUCCAAAUUAAGAAAGAUGGAAAAUGGUUUGCUGUUAAGCCCCUUCCUGAUGCCUUUAUAGUCAACGUUGGUGACGUUUUAGAGGUAACACUUGUCUUUCUCUACAGCCUAUGAUAAGUAACGCUAUGUCUCUACAUAGUUUGUAUCUCUAGUAAGAGCAGUGCUAGGUGAAGAAGGAGAGAAAGAUGAGAGAAUUUUGUCCUCUCUCUCUACCCACUCACUCUCUCUCUACCAUUUUCUUCUUUAUUUCUCUCGUCUUUCUCUCGUGCUUCUCUUCACCAAGUAUUUUCCCUCUAAUAAUGUUACGUGACAUCUGACGUGUCUUUUAUUAGUAAGUAGAGUAGAAUUAUUGUAUAAUUUGUAUUAAUAAUAGAAAACUGGUCUCCAAAUUAAGAAAGAUGGAAAAUGGUUUGCUGUUAAACCCCUUCCUGAUGCCUUAAUAGUCAACGUUGGUGACGUUUUAGAGGUUAACACUUGUCUUUCUCUACGGCCUAUGAUAAGUAAGGCUAUGUCUCUCCGUAGUUUGUAUCUCUAGUAAGAGCAGUGGUAGGUGUAGAGAAGCACGAGAGAAAGAAGAGAGAAUUUUGUCCUCUCUCUCUCUACCCACUCACUUUCUCUCUACCAUUUUAUUCUUUAUUUCUCUCGUUUUUCUCUCGUGUUUUUCUUCACCAAGCAUUUUUCCCUCUAAUAAUGUUACGUGACAUCUGACGUGUCUUUUAUUAGUAAGUAGAGUAGAAUUAUUGUAUAAUUUGUAUUAAUAAUAGAAAAUAAAGUCAACUAAAUGCGAAUCUAGAAAUAAUUGGUGACGCGUCGCUUGCAAUAAAAACUAAGUUAAUUGUUAGCAUAGGAUAUAUAGUUGAUGACUAGUUUCAUCUAAUUUCUUCCUCUUCUUGAUUAUACUCGUUAAUUUUUUUUUUUUUUUGGUUCAAUUUAUGAUCCUGCAGAUUUUUAGCAAUGGAACUUAUCGUAAUAUUGAACAUCGUGCACUGUAAACUCAAUGAAGGAAAGGUUAUCUUUUGGUACAUUUUACAGUCCAAAAUCAGAUGGAGAAUUGGGUCCAGCACUGAGUCUUAUUACUCCAAAGACUCCAGCAUUAUUUAAGAGGAUAAGUGUGGUAGAUCACUUGAAAAGAUUCUUUUCAAGCGAGCUGCGUGGAAAGUCAUUUAUUGAUUUCUUGAGGAUUCAAAAUUAGGCGGUUAAAAGUUGUUGAUUGUUUUGAAUUACAUGAUAAGAUUAUAUGGAGUCCAUACCAAUAAAAUGAGUGAAUUAAUUAUUAAGUUGUGAACUUUUAAUUUUAUUACACACACAUAUAUGUUUACCUUAAAUUUUAUUGAAUAUUGAUAAAUUAAAAAAUAAAGUCGUGAAACACAUACUCAGUGAUGAUCUUGCAGGAAUGAUAUUUGCAGUAUUAGAGAAUUAUUGAUGGAAUAGAAAAACAAAAGAAGAAGAAUUGGGGUAGAAAGCGUGCAUGAAGAAAUAAAUGAAUAAAAAUAAUAGUGAUCUUGAAUUUUUUAUUUUAUUUUUUAAUUAAUUAAGAAUAAUUUUGAUUUUAUGUAAGAAUAUAUUUAAAAUUGUAUUAAGUAUAACAUUUGUUCUCAAAAUUAGAUUUACCAAUACUUUUAAAAAAAUUACCAAACAAAACUUAAAUUUUGAUAUUUUAAAAUUAUUUUUAAGUCAAAAUAGUAAUCCCAAAUGAGUGCUUAUUCAAUUACUUGGAUAAAACAAAAAUGAAUUUAAAUUUAAAGGACUUAAAUUAAUAAUGCAUUUUGAAAAGCCAUGGUCCUCUUCUAAAUUUCGUGAUUUCUACCAACGAUGCGGACCGAUCAACAAUAAAAUAUCCCAAUAGUUUCGUAAGUUUUAUGAUUGGGCACGUGAACUUGAUAGGCGCAAUUGUCUAUUUUUUUUCAUUGUUUUAUAUUUGUCUAUAUCUAAUUUGCUGUUUUACGACGUAACACUCGUGGAGGAAAAAACCCAAACAAAAUCGAGUACACAAGUUUGUGUGGUCAGCCUGGUUUUAUAUUUCAAAAUGCCAAUCUAGUGGGAUUAGUACCAAUCUAAAGCUAAACCACACAAUGUGACACUACAUGGAUAAGACUAGUAUUCCACUGUGAAAUCUAUAAUGGCAUUAGGAUUUGAUACAAGUGAUAGUAGGAUUAUUUUGGGUAAGACUCAUUUUCUUAGUAAAGAAUUAAAUUGGGUGAGAUGUAAGAUAUAAAUGGAGGAUUAUUUUGGUAUUUAAAAGAAUGUGCUCAGUAAAAUUAAUUUUUAAAAUUUAUUAAAUGAGAAUGAGAGUACAGAAUAAAGUGGUACUCAAAGUAAAAUUUAGAUUGCAAAUAGCCCAACAUUAAGUUGGCGAUCUUUUUUUUUUCUUUUAUCUUAAAUCUGAAAUAGGUAUGAAUGUUGCUAAAGUUUGAAAGGGUCUGAAUGCCUAUGUCAAAAUAAUAUAUUUGUUUUUUUAUUUUUUGACAUCUAGGUGUAAGUGGUAAGUUGUUUGUACUUAUUAAACUCAAAACAUUUUAAAUCUAAUAUUUUUACACUGAUGACCUUGAAAGUGUUAUAUAUACUUGAAGCUUAAACAGAUAUAUAUUUAUGGUGUUUUCUAGUACAAUAGUUUUUAUAUGUUAUAAAUAUUUACAAGGGAAGUAACUCAUAUAUAAUUUAUGAAAAAUAAUUUUGAUAACAUUAAUUUUUACAAUUUAACAUAAUAUUUAUACAUAAAAAAGCUGUUAUCUAAUUAUAUAAAAAAAACUAAAUUCAAAAUGAAUUUAUGUUAAGUACUUAAUACGAAGUAAAAUUUGAUAUCAAGAAAAUUUGUGAUAUGACAUCUAAUAGGUAAGUAGAAAAUAAAUACAUCUAAUGAGGGUAUUUGGGAGAAAAAAAGUUGAGUUUCCAUUCAAACAUUUUAUUAAUUCAGAUAAAACUGAAAUUUUACUUUUUUUUAUUCAAAUAAAAAUGUCUAAUAAUAAAACUUUCAGAUACAAAGGCAAACAAGCCAAAAUAUCAAAACAUCUUAAAUUAAGCCCAAUUAAGACUUUAGAUAUAAAAACAAAUAAACUCUAACAUUAUUUCAAUUGUCUUAAUGUUGAAUGGUGUACCCUUUAAUAAAUGGAAUGGGAUCUUCUUUUGAUCUAAACUAGGGCUGGAUAUAAAUCGAGUUUGGAUCAACCCGAUCUAAUUUUUGGAUUGAAUCGAAUUAAACCAAUUUGAAUAUAUUCAAAUCGAAUCAAAUAAAAAAUUCGGGUAAAAAAUUUAGGUCAAUUGGAUGAUUAAUCGAAUUUUACCUAAUAUAUCAUAUCAAAUUUUGCCGAUCAAAGAAAAGAAUUGUUGGAAAAAAAUUAAACUCAAACCCAGUCCAAAUAUUUAUGGUACAACAAGAAGAAAUUAAUACAAUAUCUUAGGGAUAAAUUAAAUCUUUUAGGUUUCUUACAAGGCAAACCAUUUAGCGGUGGAGAGCUGCAGAUCGGAGUGCAGCAGCAAUCGUGGUGGCGAAUGGAUCAACCAGCAGCAGCAGUCGUGGUACAUGACAGCAGAAUGCGUAGGCAAGUUACGGAUCGCAUUAGGGCUGCUUUGCUCUGCCAUGACUGCCGUCUGCCAUGCUAUGUUUGGUGAGUGCCGCCGGCUGCCACUGCGUAUGUGACUAUGUGUGGUGUGCUGCCCCUAUGUUGUGUUGUGUGUGUGAAGUGCCAUUGUGCUCUGUGUGUGAAAAGGAUACCACGAUGUUCGCUUGUUUGUACUUUGUGCUUGUAAAUUGAAAUGAUCAAUUAGGUUAGCUCAUUUUUUCUUUUUUUGGUAAGGGACCAACCCGAUUGGAUUUUCAGAGCGGAUUGGGUUUAAUCCAAUCCGAUCACGAUCUAAUCGGGUUUGUUUCUACCAACGAUUGGAUUAGGUUAAUAAUUCAAUCCAAACUGAACCCGAUGUUUUUUGGAUUAGUUGGGUCGAAUCGGAUUAUUUAUCUAGCCCUAAUCUAAACUCUACUGAAGUUUUAAAGAUUUCCAGUCAUAUAUCAUUUAGUGAUAAUGUAAGAAUAAAAUUUAACUUCUUUAUUUUUUUAAUUCAUUAUCUACUAAUCAACACCUAAAUUAUUUGCUCUACAAGUGAUCAUAUCAAGACAGAAGUCAGGAUCUUCUUGAAUUUUUAUAACAAAAUUAUUAUUUUAUUACACCUAAGUGGAUCACAGUACAUCCAAAGGACUAUUUAUAUAUGAGUUUCUUGUUAAAACACAACCCAACUAAGUCUGGAGGGGAGAGGGAGAAAAAAAAGAAAGAAAUAGCUAGAAACCAGAUAAUCCAAAUCUAUAUAAUAUGGAGGCAGAAUCGACAGCUAUUGGGAGUUCUCUCGUGGAGCCUUCGAUUCUGGAGCUGGCAAAUAAUAAGCCACUGAUCACAGUUCCUCCACGUUAUGUUCGCCCUGAGAUAGACCAUCCCCUGAUUCGCAACGACGAUUCUUCAGCACAACAAUUUCCAGUCAUUGACAUGCACAAGUUGCUCUCUGGAGAUGACUCAGAGCUUGAGAAGCUUGACCGUGCAUGCAAAGAGUGGGGUUUCUUUCAGGUAAAUAAUAAUUUAGCAGUGAAAUUCAGAUAAUCAUAAUUAGACAAAACGUUGACAAAAAAGAAAGUAAAUCAGUACCGGAUUAGUCACUUGAUUGUAAACACUGUAAACAGACGCUAACUUAUCAUUGUUUUUGUUAGCAUUUUAUCAGCUCUCCGUUUCUUUAGCUUUUUCCAUAAAAAUCAUUUUGUUUCCUGAACUUCAAAAUUUCCUUUAUGAACCAUGUGUAUAUGGAAAGGACAUUUUCCUUUAAUUUGCAUAUAUGCAGUUGAUGAAUCAUGGAAUGAGCAGUUCAUUGGUGGAGAAAGUGAGAGUAGAGAUUCAAGACUUCUUUAAUCUUCCAAUUGAUGAGAAAACGAAGUUUUGGCAACAACCAGGAGAUAUUGAGGGAUUUGGGCAGCUCUUUAUUGCGUCUGAAGAGCAGAAACUUGAUUGGGCAUAUGGCUUUACUUUGAUCUCUUUCCCAACUCAUCUGAGGAAAUCCCACUUGUUCCCCAAGUUGCCUCUUCCAUUCAGGUUCUAUAGUUGAAGCGUAUCGUUUUGCUAUAUGGUAUAUUCUAUCUUAUGAUAAUUACUGGACUAUAUAUCGUUAUUUGCAUGCAGAGAUGACUUGGAAGUUUACUCGACAGAACUUAAAAAUCUUGCCCUGAAAAUCCUUGACCAAAUGGCCAAAGCUCUACGAAUGGAUCCCAAUGAUAUGAAAGAGUUGUUUGGAAACGGAAGGCAGUCAUUAAGGAUGAAUUAUUAUCCUCCUUGUCCGAAACCAGAGCAAGUUCUUGGCUUUAAGCCUCAUUCUGAUGGCGCCGCACUCACCAUCCUCCUCCAAAUCAAUGAGAUGGAUGGUCUCCAAAUUAAGAAAGAUGGAAAAUGGGUUGCAGUUAAACCCCUUCCUGAUGCCUUUAUAGUCAAUAUUGGUGACGCUUUAGAGGUAACACUUGUCAUUUUCUAUAGCGUAUGAUGACUAAUGCUAUAUUCUACGCAGUUUGUAUCUCUAGUAAUGUUUUGUGACAUCUGACCUUCAUUGUAAGUGGAGUAGAAUUAUUAUAUAAUUUGUGUUAAUGAUAUAAUGAUAGAAAAUAAAGUCAUCUAACACCGAAUUCAUAAGAAAAAAAAAAGGGUUGGGAACACCUUGCUUGCGAUAAAAAUGAUGUUGUUAGGAUGGGAUAUGUAGAUGAUAACUGGUUUCAUAUAUUUAUGUUAUUUUUUAAUUUAUUUACUUUAUGUGUUUAUAGAUUUUUACCAAUGGAACUUAUCGUAGUAUCGAGCAUCGUGUGACUGUAAACUCAGUGAAGGAAAGGUUAUCUUUUGCUACAUUUUACAGUCCGAAAUUAGAUGGAGAAUUGGGUCCAGCACCAAGUCUUAUUACUUCGAAGACUCCAGCGUUGUUUAAAAAAAUAAGUGUGGUAGAUUACUGGAAAAGAUUUUAUUCAAGUGAGCUGCGUGGGAAGUCUUUUAUUGAUUUCUUGAGAAUGCAAGACCAGGGCACUUAAAAGUUAUUGAUUGCUUCCAGUUAUACGACGAGAUUACAUGGAGUCCAUUCUGAUAAAAUAAGUCAAUUAAGUUGUGAACUUAUUCUGUUGGAUUGUGUUUAGACUUGCUGGGCUGUGUAUACUUCAAUGGAUAAACUUAAAUAAGUUUACGGAGUUGUGUAACUUGUAUUUGUAUGUGAAUUAUAACUUGUAGAAAAGUUAAAAUAAAAUUACAUAAUAAAUUUUGUGUAGAUUCUAUGUUUCUUUGUCGAUUUAUAUAUAUCUGCAGUUUCAAUUGUUGUCCUAGGACCUGAUUUGAACCUACAAUUGAGAUUGGCGUAUGAUGACUUGAAGUGAUUAUUUUCAACAAAUGUGACUUCUUUCUAUUGGACCAGCAAAUUAAUGUGUUUGCCUGGAAAGUUUGGAAGAUGACAAUUUUCAAUUUUGCUUUUGAAAAGAUGAUGUUUAUGAUGGUCCCUUUAAAAUCAUAUUAAUUGUCAAACACGUGGUGCUCUUUCAUGGAAAAAAACUUAUAAUAUUUUUCUUCCACUCAUCGUGGUCUAUCUUUUCAUUGACUCUAUAUGGAAAAAUUAUAUCAAACAUCCAACAUUGUUUAAAAAAUAGUAAAAAUAAAUUGAUGAAGAAAUAUGAGACAAAAGUUAAAAGUUACAAAAAGAUUGUUAGUUUUUUUUUUUUUUUUAAUAAGAUAACAUAGUGCUUUUUCAUACAGAAAACUUUGUAUGUCUCCCUUUUAUAGAGAAACAUUUUACGGAUAUCUUUUUAAGUUAAAUUAGUCAUUCAUGUAUCUCAUAAUUUAAUUCAACUUGAAUAAUUACAAUCACAUACAGAUUUAGUUUAUUCAACUCUAAAUUGUAAUUAAAUAUAACAUAUGACUAAUUUCAAAUCAAAUGCAAAGAAAAUUGAUCCUGCUUUCCUUUAAUGUGAGACAUUAGUAUUUUAAAGUAUCAAUAAAAAAUAAGAGAUCCCUUAUAUAAUGAUAUAAGUUACAUCGAUCAUAGAAUUGCACUAGACAAUCACAAAGUACUUAGAUCAUUAAGGGAUCAAGAUCCAACAAAAUUCCAAAAAACAAGUCAGGCCACGUGCAAACCUAAUGUAUCUAUCCUUUAUGCUGAAUAAUCUUUGCUCAAGCAGUGUGGUCAGACAUCCACAUUUGAAAAAUGCUUAAGCGUGCAUUGACUUUACAUCUUAUAUCAACAAAAAUUGAAAAAAAUAAUACAUGUAAUUGGCUUUCCAACACAUGAUUUUUUUUAAAUAUUAUUAUUAAAGAGUAAAAUAUAAAUAUUGAUAAAUGUUGAAGAUAUUAUUAUACAUUAGUUGAGAAUAUUUAUUAGGUUAAUAUUAUAAGAUCUCAAAUCUUUUGAAUUAGUUUUUGUGUAUAAAUUAGAAAAUUUGGUUUUUAUAUGAUAUUAGUGUCAAAAUCAUACAUGAGCAGUCUCACACUACCAUUCCAUUUCACAACGACCAUACAAGAAGAACAGUAUGAACAUGACAAGAGGUUUUGAGGAAAUUAUCCAACGUUUGGCCAGUGGCUAAGAAAAAUUACAAGGCUAUAUAAAAAUUUUAAGAUAAUACUCAACUCUUUAAAUAGUUUUUGAGUAUGACUUAGACUAUGGGCUCUUAUAAUAAAUAAAACCUAACGUACUACAGAGACCUAACUCGACAUAUCAGAUUAGGGCUGGGCAUAUCUGGUACAAUUCGGUUCAGUCGAAGAACUGAACCAAACUGAAAUCAAUCGAUUCUUUAAAGCUGGAACCGAAUACGAACCAACUUUUGAACCGUACCAAAGAUGAUUCGAUCGGUUCGAUUUUGUGAUCAGUUCGGUUCACAAACGGGUGGAUCGGUUCAAAAUGGAUGAGGAAGCCCUUUGCUGGUGAUUAGAUUCAUUCAACAAUUUAUUUAUAAAACACCCAACAAAUUAAACUCCAAUUUAUGAAUCCGAACUCACAAAAUUAAGGAAAACAAGUGUUUUGAAAUUCAGGUGUGAAAUGGAUUAUUGAGCAUGGCAGCUGCUACAAGCACACUUAAAAUUGAUUCAAUUGAAAACAACAGCCUCCUCGUGAACUUCAUGAAAAUUUAUUUGGAUGUUUCAAAUAAUUUGUAAUUAUAAAACUGACCUUUUCAUUUGCUUCCAAAUCUUUCCAUCAAAAUCAACGAAUAAAUAAAAAAUGUAAACACAAGUUACACAAGUCCACCGACACGACAGCAGCGGCGGGCUACCGACGACACGACCACAACGAACGGGAGGCGACGCUGACACGAGCACGACCGGAUGAACUACGACAGGCUGACACGAGCGCGAUGGCGACGACUACGGUGACAGGCUGGCUAAUAAGCGACAGUGGUGGAUGGAAUGUGUGUAUCAGCGAGAGUGAGACAGAUGGUGAGGGUGUAUGUGUGUGUCGGCUAGUGUGUGAGAGAGAGAUGGUGGGUGUGUGCAUGAUUUUAAUGUUUAUAAUUAUUUUAUUUAUUUAUAAAACCGAAAUUAAAUCUAAUUAACAUAAAUUUUGGUUCGGCUCGGUUUGGAAAACCGAAUCGAACCCACCCCAAUCAGAAUUAAAAUCCAUCCCAAAAAAAAAUAAAUUAAUAAACUCUUCUUCACUCUAGGGGUGUUCAAAAUCUAAUCUGAUUUGCUUAAUUUGAUCUACAAAAAAUUUGAUCUACAAAAAAUUUGUUCUAUAAAAAUCCGAUCUGUGGAUUAGUGGAUUGAAUUAGAUUAAAAAUUUAAAAAUCCGCAGUCAAUAAAUUAGAUAUAGAUUUACUUCUAUAAAUUCAUAAAAAUCUGUAAAUUUGCAAAAACAAAAAUUAUUUAAUUAAAAUAUUAAACUUGUAAAUGUGGCAUUACUACUUACUAAUAACAAAAUAAGUUAAAAAUGUAGUUACGUUAAUAGCAUAUUAUAUCUUAUUCAUGAUAAUAUAAAAUAAAAAAUAAUUAAAUAAGUAAAAAUAGCUUCUUAAACAGUUAAUUUUCAUAAUUUUAGUUAAUUUUUAUGUAUUGAUUUAAAAAAAUGAGAUUGUUUCUUCUUGUUGUUUUAUAUUUGAAACUUUGAAUGUAUUUUUCUAGUUUUAUUUAAAUGAUUAAUUUAUUUAAAUCUUAUUAAAUUUUAAAUUUGACAAAAUUAAAAAUUCUUAACUUACAAACUAACCCAUGGCCAUAAAAUUGUGGAUUGGAUAUGAAUUAGGUCAAAUACACAUCCGAUUCACAUGGAUUGAAUUUGAAUUGAAUUUCAAUAAUUCGUAGAUUGAAUUGGAUUAAAAAUUUAUAAUAUAAAAAAUUGUUAAUUGGAUAUGGAUUGAUAUCCAAUCCAUAACAUCUAAUCUGUGAAUACCCCUACUUCACUACCGUCAAGGAAUUGUUGCUUUUCCAAGUCGAAAGUAUUUAGUUGUCCAUUUGAUCAAUUAAUGUAUUAAGUAUCUUAUAUUUAAAGCAAUAUUUUUCAAAUGACCGCAAUUAAAAAAGUUAUUCUCUACUUCAAUAAUUGAAAACUUUGUAUAGUCUUGUUUAAUCACACGAGUUUGGAGAGAAAAGAGAGGUAAUUAAUCAAAAACUAUGUAAAGCAACAACGAUAGCAAGUUCUCUUCUGGAGCCUUCGAUUCAGGAGCUGGCAAUGAAGCCAAUGACGACUAAAGUUCCACCACGAUAUGUUCGCCCUGAUAUAAAAGAUGUAAUGAUCUGCAACAACAACAAUUCUUCAACAGAACAACUUCCAGUCAUUGUCAAAGUCAUGGUUGGGCGGUUUGGCACCAUUAACAUUUUUCAAAAUGGCCACCCAAAUUGAAGUCCAAGUAGAUGCCGCUCAAGGAAAGGAAAAAAAAAGGGAAAUUUUGACAAAGAAGAAAGACGAAUGAAGAAAAUGCUGCAAAUGGUGGUUGGCACACCAAAAUGGAAGAAAAGAAAAAAAAAUUAUUAUUUUAAUAGCCAAUUUUGGCUAUAAAUGGGGGGGUUCCCCAUCGGCUUAGAGCAUCCAAAUUUUUCAUUUUAUUUCUUAUUCUUUAGAGAGAAAGUGAGAGUAUUUUAAGAGUUUUAACAAACUCUUGAGUGAUUUGUGAUUUGAGAGUUUUGGGUGUAUUGGGGUUUUGGGUAGUGAGACAAAAUACCACAAUACUUGUAACUCAUUUUCACUAGUAAAAUAUUUUCCUUCUGUUUUUGCAUGUGGACGUAAGUUAAAAGCCGAAUCACGUAAUUUCUGGGGUCCUCUACUGUGCUUGUUCUUUAUUUUCUUCUAAUUUUAUUUUAGUUGUGUGUCUGCUUCACCCACCAAUUUUCUUAUAGUGGUAUCAGAGCUAUUGGUUGUAUUUUUUGGAGUUGGGUAUUGUUCACGUAUACGACACUGUUCACGUAUACGACACUGUUCACGUAUAUGAUACUAUUCACGUAUACGAUACUAUUCACGUAUACGACACUGUUCACGUAUACGACACUGUUCAUGGGAAACGGUGGGAGUAAUCCAAGAAUUUUUGCGGUGCAAAGUAGGGAAUAGUAGUGUGAGUGGAGUAACUGUGUGGUUUUGAACAUGUCUAGAAAAGUUCUGUCACAAAGGCGAUAAGAGCCUAAGGAGUCUAGGUUUUAAGUGAGACCGUUGUGACCCCCCCAGUCUUUCCUGGGAACUUUCCUGGUGUGCAUAUUCACACAUACUCACAACUAUUCGAGGUGAUACACUGGUUUGUGUACUGUAUUUAUCAACAAAAUGGCGGCAAAGUAUGAAAUUGAGAAGUUUAACGGAAAUAAUUUUUCGUUGUGGAAAAUGAAGAUGAAAGCUGUAUUGAGGAAAAAUAAUUGCUUGGCAGCAAUUGGAGAAGGUCCAUUGAGAUAACUGAUGACAAGUGGAAUGGGAUAGAUGGCAACGCCAUUUCUGAUCUACACUUAGCACUUGCGGACAUAGUAUUAUCCAGUGUGGCAAAGAAAACUACAGCAAAAGAAAUAUGGGAUACUCUCACAAAAUUGUACGAGACCAAAUCACUACACAACAAAAUUUUCUUGAAGAGGAAACUCUAUACUCUUCGAAUGGCAGAAUCUAUAAUGGUGACCGACCACAUCAACACCUUGAAAAUUCUAUUUUCACAACUCACAACGUUGGGUCAUAAUAUAGAGGAAAAUGAACGUGCGAAACUUCUACUUCAAAGUCUACUAGAUUCAUAUGAUUAACUCAUCAUCAACCUGACGAACAACAAUUCAAUGGACAGUCUAAUUUUCGACGAUGUUGCAACCUUCGUAUUAAAUGAGGAAAGUAGGCGAAAAAACAAGGAAGACAUACUGGUGAGUUCGCAGCAGGCAGAAGCGUUAUCAGUGACGAGAGGGAGAUCAACGGAACGUGGCCCCAAUGGGAGUCACAAUCAUGGUAGAUCCAAAUCCAGAAGUAAGAAGAAUGUUAAAUGCUACAACUGUGGUAAGAAAGGACAUGUCAAGAAAGAGUAUUGGAGUAACCAGAAGAGAAAAGAGGGCAAAGAACCUAAGUCAUCAAAUGCUCAGGGGUGUGUAGCAAGUACCUCAGAUGAUGGCGAAAUUCUCUACAACGAGGCAACAACUGUUUCAGAAGGCAGAAAACGAUAAUCUGAUGUCUGGCUUAUAGACUCAAGAGCUACCUGGCACAUGACCUCUUGGAGAAAAUAGUUUCACACAUAUGAACCUAUCUCAGGAGUAUCUGUAUAUAUGGGUAAUGAUCAUGCCUUGGAGAUCGCUGAUAUUGGUACUAUCAAAAUAAAAAUGUUUGAUAGUGCAAUUCGCACAAUUAGGGAGGUACGUCAUGUCAACGGCCUGAAGAAAAAUCUAUUGUCUUUGAGACAAAUGGAUAGUCAUGGGUACAAAACUCAUGUGGAGAAUAAAAUUAUGAAGAUCGUUAAAGGCGCGCUUGUAUUGAUGAAGGCAGAAAAAAUCGGUGCUAAUCUAUUCAUGCUUAAAGGAGAAACAUUACAGGAGGCUGAUGCAUGUGUCGCAUCAAAUGGAGAAGAGUCAACGAUGAUGUGGCAUCUCAAACUUGACCACAUGUCAUAACAAGAUUUGAAGAUUUUCUCUGAGCGAAAAUUGCUUCCAGGACUUAAAUCGGUACGUUUACCAUUUUGCGAGCAUUGUGUUACAAGUAAGCAUCAUAUAUUAAAGUUCAGUAGAUCUAUUGCUAGAAGUAAACGCAUUCUAGACUUGAUUCAUUAUGAUGUUUGGGAAUCGCCGGAUAUGACCAUGAGAGGUGCAAAGUACAUGGUGACUUUCAUUGAUAAUUAUUCUAGGAGAUGUUGGGUGUAUCUAAUUAGGAAAAAGUCAUAUGUAUUUCUAGUGUUUAAAGAAUACAAAGUGCGGAUGGAACUUGAAUCCGGAAAAAAGAUCAAGUGCUUGAGGACGGAUAAUGGUGGAGACUAUACAGCGGUGAGUUUCUUGCUUUCUGUAGGCAAGAAGGUAUUCAGAGGCAGUUCACGGUAGCAUACACUCCUCAACAAAAUGGAGUGGCAGAGCGGAUGAAUAGGAUUCUUACAGAACGAAUACGAGCUAUGUUGAGGACUGCUGGUCUACCCAUCUACAACUAUUGGGCUGAACACAGCGAUGGAGAUGUAGACUGAAAAGCCAGCUGAUUACUCCUACCUACAUGCAUUUGGAUGUCAUGUGUACGUGAUGUACAAUGCCCAAGAAAGAGCAAAGCUGGAUCCAAAAUCUAGGAGGUAUAUCUUCUUAGGAUAUGCUGAUGGAGUAAAGGGUAUCGUCUGUGGGACCUCACUGCCUACAAGAUCGUCAUCAGCAGAGAUGUUAUCUUUGUAGAAGAUCAACUGCAAAGAAAAGAUGAGGAUGAUAGCACUGUAAAAGAAAAGUCAGAGACUGUGCCGGUAUAUGUGGAAAAUCAUCCAGAAGAUUCAGAUUCUUCUGAAGCAGCACUAGAGCACAAGGAACAAGAACCAGUCGAGUCCGAGGCUCUAGAAUUUCAUCGAUCAACUCGUGAGAGACGACCGCCAGUAUGGCACUCGGAGUAUGUCACAUAGAUCAAUGUUGCAUACUGUCUUCUAACAGAGGAUGGAGAGCCAUCAACUUUUCAUGAAACUUUAAGCAACACAGAUGUUGCUUUAUGGAUGACAGUAAUGCAGGAAGAAAUUGAGCCUCUACACAAGAACAAGACAUGGGAACUUAUACCACUACCACAUGGAAGAAAAGUUAUUGAAAAUAAAUGGGUCUACAAGAUCAAGCGUGAUGGCAAUGACCAAGUGGAGCGGUAUCAUACAAGAUUGGUGGUGAAAGAAUAUGCUCAGAAAGAAGGUAUUGACUUCAACGAGAUAUUUUCUCCGGUAGUUCGACUCACAACAGUCAGAAUAGUCUUGGCAAUGUGUGCUACAUUUGACCUAGAUUUAGAGCAGUUAGAUGUGAAAACUGCAUUUCUUCAUGGAGAACUUGAAGAAGAAAUAUAUAUGCUCCAACCAGGAGGUUUUGCAGAAACAGGAAAAGAAAACUUGGUUUGCAGGUUGAACAAAUCUCUAUACGGUCUCAAACAGGCGCCGAGAUGUUGGUAUAAGAGAUUUGAUUCAUUCAUCGUGAGCCUUGGAUACAACAGACUCAGUUAAGACUAUUGUGCAUAUUACAAAAGGUUUGAAGAUAAUGAUUUCAUUAUUUUGCUGUUGUAUAUGGAUGAUAUGUUAGUAGCAGGCUCCAACAAAGAUCGAAUCCAAGAAUUGAAGGCACAGUUGGCUAGGGAGUUUGAAAUGAAGAACUUGGGACCAGCAAACAAGAUUCUAGGGAUGCAAAUUCACCGAGACAGAAAUAACAGGAAGAUUUGGCUUUCUCAAAAGAACUACUUGAAGAAAAUCUUGCGGGGCUUCAACAUGCAAGAUUGUAAGUCAAUUUAUACCCCACUUCCUGUUAAUUUCAAAUUAUCCUCAAGUAUGUGUCCUAGCAAUGAAGCAGAGAGAAAUGAGAUGUCUCGAGUACCAUAUGCAUCAGCAGUGGGAAGUUUAAUGUUCGCUAUGAUUUGUACAAGACCAGACAUUGCACAAGCAGUGGAGCAGUCAGUCGAUACAUGGUGAAUCCUGGUGGAGAGCAUUGGAUAGCUAUGAAGAGGAUUCUGAGAUACAUCAGAGGAACCUCAGAUGUUGCAUUAUAUUAAAGAGGAUCAGAGUUUACUGUAAGGGGCUAUGUGGAUUCAGAUUUUGCAGGAGACCUUGAUAAAAGAAAAUCUACUACUGCCUAUGUGUUUACACUUGUUGAGUGUUAGAAAAUGCAUAUUUAUAAAGGAGAAAACCGUCAUUUUACAUUUCAAGUCUUACUAACAACCCUUACUUUUAUGUAUUUAACCUUCUUGUGAUGUAAUUACGUGUGUGUUAUUUUAAUUAAGUAUUUUAUGUAUUUUAGGGGCAUUAUAGUCAUUUCACAAUAAAGGAGAGAUCAGACGGCAAAACGGACAUCACUUUUGAACUCAGGACGGUCGAAAACCUUAGGAGGAGCAUAAAAGGAAAAAUGACACUAUUCACAUGUACGGUACUAUUCACGUGUACGAUACUGUCUACGUUACUGUUCACGACACUGUUCACAUAGACGGAUCGAUAACGUGGCAUUGACCGAUGAUGUGGCAUUGACUGAUGAGGUGCCACGAUCCUGUUGGACUAAAAUUCUUAUNNNNNNNNNNNNNNNNNNNNNNNNNNNNNNNNNNNNNNNNNNNNNNNNNNNNNNNNNNNNNNNNNNNNNNNNNNNNNNNNNNNNNNNNNNNNNNNNNNNNNNNNNNNNNNNNNNNNNNNNNNNNNNNNNNNNNNNNNNNNNNNNNNNNNNNNNNNNNNNNNNNNNNNNNNNNNNNNNNNNNNNNNNNNNNNNNNNNNNNNNNNNNNNNNNNNNNNNNNNNNNNNNNNNNNNNNNNNNNNNNNNNNNNNNNNNNNNNNNNNNNNNNNNNNNNNNNNNNNNNNNNNNNNNNNNNNNNNNNNNNNNNNNNNNNNNNNNNNNNNNNNNNNNNNNNNNNNNNNNNNNNNNNNNNNNNNNNNNNNNNNNNNNNNNNNNNNNNNNNNNNNNNNNNNNNNNNNNNNNNNNNNNNNNNNNNNNNNNNNNNNNNNNNNNNNNNNNNNNNNNNNNNNNNNNNNNNNNNNNNNNNNNNNNNNNNNNNNNNNNNNNNNNNNNNNNNNNNNNNNNNNNNNNNNNNNNNNNNNNNNNNNNNNNNNNNNNNNNNNNNNNNNNNNNNNNNNNNNNNNNNNNNNNNNNNNNNNNNNNNNNNNNNNNNNNNNNNNNNNNNNNNNNNNNNNNNNNNNNNNNNNNNNNNNNNNNNNNNNNNNNNNNNNNNNNNNNNNNNNNNNNNNNNNNNNNNNNNNNNNNNNNNNNNNNNNNNNNNNNNNNNNNNNNNNNNNNNNNNNNNNNNNNNNNNNNNNNNNNNNNNNNNNNNNNNNNNNNNNNNNNNNNNNNNNNNNNNNNNNNNNNNNNNNNNNNNNNNNNNNNNNNNNNNNNNNNNNNNNNNNNNNNNNNNNNNNNNNNNNNNNNNNNNNNNNNNNNNNNNNNNNNNNNNNNNNNNNNNNNNNNNNNNNNNNNNNNNNNNNNNNNNNNNNNNNNNNNNNNNNNNNNNNNNNNNNNNNNNNNNNNNNNNNNNNNNNNNNNNNNNNNNNNNNNNNNNNNNNNNNNNNNNNNNNNNNNNNNNNNNNNNNNNNNNNNNNNNNNNNNNNNNNNNNNNNNNNNNNNNNNNNNNNNNNNNNNNNNNNNNNNNNNNNNNNNNNNNNNNNNNNNNNNNNNNNNNNNNNNNNNNNNNNNNNNNNNNNNNNNNNNNNNNNNNNNNNNNNNNNNNNNNNNNNNNNNNNNNNNNNNNNNNNNNGUCCUAAUAAAAGUCCUUGAUUUUAGGGAACUAUAGUCUGAAGUAGAAGCUAGUUAUAUGGGCUAAAAAAAUAUAGUGAUGCAUGAAAGAAAAAAAAAAUUGGUUUGACUAGCAUUUUUAUUUGACUUGAGAUCGUAUUAUUUCUAAGCUGAGGGCAUAUUUCUUUCAUCUUGGUGAGAGCAUGUGAUAUCACUUCUUUAUUAUUUUCUCUCAAUUACCAUUCAUUGGAGUGACUAUUUUUAUUAUAUUUAAUUUCUUUGUAAGAGUGUCACUACUUCCAGUGAGAUUUUGGGGUUUGACAUGUCAUUCUUGAAGGUAGCUAUGACAAAGUCUACUGGGCUGAUUCAUGUGGAUGAUUGAUGUGGGUGUGAUGUUUCUUUAGACUUGAGAUAAUGCUUAUACUUUUAUUUUAUUGUUAUCAUUAGUAUGAUUGAAUAAACAAGAGUGUUUUAAACUGCUGUACCGUACAUCCGCCUUGGCCGUACAGCAGAGCUUGGGUUGAAGGUGAAGUCUCAACAUGUGUCAUGGGCUUAAUUUGGUAAAUUUAUUUUCUCUUCCCCUCUAGUUUUUGUGGAUGUUUUGACUUCUCGUCGACAAAUAAUACUAAUCUUGUCUAGUACCGCCUUGGUUACACCGGCUCUCUAGUAUAAGGUUAUUAUUAUUUGGCACGAUAAGCCCUUAGCACCAUAUUGAUUAGAGCGUGGUUCAUGAGGUGUGGAUUCCCCCCUCAUGAUUUAAUUGGUAUUAAUAAGGCAUAUUUAGCCCAUGAUGCAUGUUGAUACGGAUCCAGAUACCCAAGUACACCAUUUCAAUAGAAUUCUCUUCAAUUUAUUCUCGCCAUUUCAAUUCCAAUUUUAGAAUUUAUUCUCGCCAUUUUAAUUUAAGUUUUAGCAUAUUCCAAAUCAUUUCCACCACAAAUUCAAUCCCCCAUUUACAAAAUUAAUUCUAUACACAAUUAAAAUCUAUCUCCUCGUGGGAUCGACACUCGUCACCAUUGAUCUAUACUACAAUAGAUUCGUGCACUUGCGAGUACAUUAAAAUUUGCACAACAACACUUACGGGAGGAGCUGUAAGCUGGGUUUCAAAACUGCAAACCGUUAAGGAAUUAUCUACAACAGAAGCAGAGUACAUGGCGGCUACACAAGCUUGCAAGGAAGCUAUCUGGAUACAAAGGUUAUUGGAGGAACUCGGGCACAAACAAGAGAAAAUUUCUGUGCUUUGUGAUAGUCAGAGUGUCUUGCACAUUGCAAGGAAUCUAGCCUUUCAUUCCAGGACAAAACACAUAGGAGUUCAGUAUCACUUCGUUCGAGAAGUAGUGGAAGACGGAAGUGUGGAUUUACAAAAAAUCCAUAUGAAGGAGAAUCUAGCAGAUGUUUUGACCAAGCCAAUAAAUACUGAUAAGUUUGUCUGGAUUAGAUCCUCUUGUGGCCUAGCAGAAACGUAGGUAACAUGAUUAUGGCGAAGUAGAAAGAAUAGUGUAGAGAUUGAUUGAUUCUCAAUUUAAUCUCCAAGUGGGAGAAUGUCAAAGUCAUGGUUGGGCGGUUUGGCACCAUUAACAUUUUUCAAAAUGACCACCCAAAUUGAAGUCCAAGUAGAUGCCGCCCAAGGAAAGGAAAAAAAAGGGAAAUUUUGACAAAGAAGAAAGAAGAAUGAAGAAAAUGCUGCAAAUGGUGGUUGGCACACCAAAAUGGAAGAAAAGAAAAAAAAAUUAUUAUUUUAAUAGCCAAUUUUGGCUAUAAAAGGGGGAGCUCCCCAUCGGCUUAGAGCAUCCAAAUUUUCCAUUUUAUUUCUUCUUCUUUAGAGAGAAAGUGAGAGUAUUUUAAGAGUUUUAACAAACUCUUGAGUGAUUUGUGAUUUGAGAGUUUUGGGUGUAUUGGGGUUUUGGGUAGUGAGACAAAAUACCACAAUACUUGUAACUCUUUUUUACUAGUAAAAUAUUUUCCUUCUAUUUUCGCCAGUGGACAUAGGCUAAAAACCGAACCACGUAAUUUCUGGUGUCCUCUAUUGUGCUUGUUCUUUAGUUUCUUCCAAUUUUAUUUUAGUUGCGUGUCAGCUUCACCCACUAAUUUCCUAAUAGUCAUCGACCUGCAGAAAUUGCUCUCUAGAGAUGAUUCAGAGCUUGAGAAGCUUGACCUUGCAUGCAAAGAAUAGGGUUUCUUUCAUGUAUACGUACUCUUCUUUGUUAAUUAUUGUCAUUUUCCAUAAUUUUAGCAAAUUAUCCAAGUAGUGCUUGUAUUUUCCCCAACACAAAAAAAAAAAAAAAAAAAAUCAUCUAAAACGUCCUCUAUUGUAUUUUUGUUGAUUCAUUGAUAUCAAUUUAAUUAUCAUUUUUUUUCACCUCCUAAAUGUUGAAUUAAUUUGAAUUUUAAUUAUUUGAAAUUAUGUAAAUAUUAUUUUAUCCUUAAAAAAUCGGAUCCAAUCGCUACAAAAAUAUGUUUUAAGUAAUCUUUUUGAAAAAAUAAUGAAAUAUGUAUCGAAAAUAAUACAAAAAUUAGUAUAAAAACUACAAAAGAUUAAAAAAAAAUUUCUUGUCUUGUAAUAAUUUUUUUCAUCCUAUAGUUUUUUUUUUUUUUUUUGGUUUUCUAGUAUGACGUACCAUUUUUAUACUAUUUUUUGUGAACAUAUUAUUGUUGUUUUGAAAGGAAAUCGACUGACUAGAUGAUUAGCUCAAAUUAUGGGAAUUAAAUGAGUAUUUCUUCAUGUUUUUCUGACUUCAAAUUAAUUUCUGUGGAACAUAUAUGACAACAACAUCGUGCUUUGAAUAAUUUGCAUGUAGCUGGUGAAUCAUGGAGUGAGCAGUUCACUGGUGGAGAAAAUGAAAGCUAAGACCCAAGACUUCUUUGAUCUUCCAAUUGAGGAAAAGAACAAGUACUGGCAUCGACCUGGUGAUAUUGAGGGAUUUGGGCAGCUCUUCAUUGCUUCUGAGGAGCAGAAACUUGAUUGGGGAUACGGCUUUACCAUAUUCACUCUCCCAAUUCAUUCGAGAAGACCCCACCUGUUCCCCAAAUUGCCUCUCCCAUUCAGGUUUUCUCUGCCUCUCAAUUUUUCUUUUUUCAUUUUUAGCCACACAACACACCAAUUAUUGAUGCAACGUUUCGUCCAUCUAACAAUACUACAAUAGUGCUGCAUUGCUAGAGAUACCUUGGAAGUUUACUUAACGGAAGUGAAAAAUCUUACCCUGAAAAUGCUUGACCAAAUGGAAAAAGCUCUAAGAAUGGAUCCCAAUGAGAUGAAAGAGUUGUUUGAAAUGGUGUGCAAUCAAUAAGGAUGAAUUAUGACCCUCCUUGUCAACAACCAGAGCAAGUUAUUGGCUUGAAUUCUCAUUCUGAUGCCUCUGCACUCACCAUCCUCCUCCAAAUCAAUGAGAUGGAUGGCCUCCAAAUAAAGAAAGAUGGAAAUUGGGUUCUCGUUAAACUCCUCCCUGAUGCUUUUAUCAUAAACGUUGGUGACGUUUUGGAUGUAGCACUCAUCACUUUCUACUGCCUUUGUUUUCUACUUUAACUUAGUGUUUUCUUAAUUCCCUUCAGAGCACUUAUAUUAAAUGAUGACCAAAUUAACUAUAAAACUGUGCAGGAUUACUUUGUUAAUUAAAUCUGUGAUUCUUCUGUGAACGUUCAGUUUGUUUAACAUUUUUCUUAUAUAAGAUUUUCUCAUGAUCUUAUCUAUGUCCUAUAUAAGAUGGGAUGCUAAGGAACUUGAGGAUAUGUAUGUCCUAUAUAAGAUUUUCUCAUGAUCUAAUCUUGUACUAAGCAAAAAUUUGUUCAUGUUCCACCCAUAACUAUCAUAACCUCUGUUAGGGAAGUGCAGGUUUAGCAAUUAUCCACAUUACGGUGAUUGCAACUUUUAUAUAAAUAUAAAUGUGGUAAUAAACAAAUAAAAAGAAAAAUUUGAACACAAUAAUUUACUUGUUUUGACGUAAAGCCUACGUCCAAGAGCAAAGACUAGAAGAUAAUUUCAUGAGCUAAUAAAUGCGAAUUAACAAAAUUAGAAAAAAAAAAUCUCAAAACUCAAAAUCCCAAUACACCCAAUUAGAUCUUGACUAGAACACGUAGGUUGAAACUCUUUCAAAUCUCUCAAAUUACUUUACUUGCAAUUGCUCUCAAAAUGUGAAUGCCUUCAAAUGACCAAAUGGCUUGGUAUUUAUCGCUAAAGACCAUUUUGACAAACAUUUGUUCAUUUGAAGGCAUCCACAUUUUGAGAUAAACUACAAGUGAAGCAAUAUUAGACAUUUGAGAGAGUUUAUACUUGAAUGUUCAAGUGAGGAUCCAAUUCGGUGUAUUAGGUUUUUGGUUUUGAGAGUUUUUUCUUCAUAUAAAGUAUGUUUUCAUGGCUUUUCUUUAUAUAUUUUUCUUCCAAUGUUUUCCCACAAUUUCUUUACUGAUGUCUCACUCAUGACAAAGUAUUUAUGAUCUUUAACUAGACAUAAGUGAAUAGUACCACAUACCUAUCUAUUGAUUUUUGUCCACUAUCUAUUGAUUUUUGUCCACUCCUCGUGAUUUAUCUUCUCAGUCUUUUCUUUAAGAGUAAGCUCCAACUCUUUCUAACAUAAGAGAUCCAUCACCUCAUAUUGCUGCAUACCAAAAUUAUUAGUACCAUUGAAUUUGUCCACUUCAAACUUUGCAUUAGUCACAAUAGUCAUCGCUGAUGAAGACAACAAUGAUGUCUCUAUCAUCUUUCUUAACCUAAAUGACCAAUGCUGUCAGUAGCUAUUCAUAAAUAGACUGUCUCCCAAGUACAAAUCGUCGUCUCCAUCGUAUGCGUGAAUAGUACCAUAUCUACAAAUAAUAUUAUUUACGUGAACAGUGUAGUAUACCCCAAGUAUGAACCUUUGGCUCUAAUACCAAUUUUUGCGGAAGCGCGGGUUGAGCAAUUAUCAAUAUUAUGGUGACUGUGACUUCUGCAGAAAUAUAAAUAUGGUAAUAAGAAAAUGCAAAAAAAUAAAUUAAAUACAAUAAUUUAUGUGGUUCGGCAUAAAAUCUACAUUCACGGGCAAAGAUUAAAGCUAAUUUCAGUAAUAAAUGGGAAUUUACAAAAUUGAGAAAAAAGCUCUCGAAGCCGAAAACCUCAAUACACCCAUUUGGAUCCUCACUAGAACACUUAAGUAAUAGCUCUCUCAAAUCUCUCAAAUUGAUUUACUUGCAAUUGCUCUCAAAAUGUGGAUGCCUUCAAAUGAACAAAUGGCUUGGUAUUUAUAGCCAAAGAUCAUGCAUGCAUUUAAUUCCUUUGUCCCCAAAAGCUUUGAAAAACGGCAACCAAAAUCAACAAUUUUGACAAAUUCAAGCGGCAUCUAGAAAAACCACCACAUUUUUCUCCAUGCAUAUGUCAACAAAAACAUGCCGCCGAUUUUGCUUUUUGAAAUUGGCGAGCGAUUAUUUGACUUUCAACAGCCUCGAUAAAGUUUGGCAGAAUAAUAAUAUGGCAUAACCAACAUAACCUGGGCAAAGUUUAGCAAAAUAAUAAUACGGGCAGAACAUUUGGCCGUAAAACGAUCUACAGAAGGAUAGACAUUCUCAAAUCUCAGCUUAUUUCUGUCUUUCCAAAUCAAAUAAAGCAGGUAAUAACUGGUGGUGACCCAAAUAUUAUAAAGUUGAGGACUAAUUAAUCUGAUAUUGAAAAAUAAACUCCCAUAAAUCAUUAAUCUGGAGACUUUAGUACAAGACAAAGCAAGGUCAAUAAAAUAACUAAUAGGAGGAAGAGGAUCCGACAACCAUCUGUCAAUCCAAAAAAUGAAUAAAGAAGCCAUCAGCAAUAACACUUUAAGAGACCAGCCUAUUAAGAGGAAUUAACAAAAAACCGAUUGGUGUAUAAUAAGUUUGUAACAAGCUUUAAGAUAGUCAGCAUACAUAGAAGAAUGAUUUUUAACAUUGCAUAAAAUCUUUUACAGGCAUGCAUGAUCUAUUUAAAAUAUCUAGACGACGAAGUCCAAGACCACCCACUGCCUUUAACAAACAAAACUGAUCGCAAUGAACUAACGCUAUCUUCCGAGAACUGUAAUCACAAGAAAUGAAUUUCCGAGACCAGGUAUGAAGCUGUUUGAUCAAAGAUUUAGGCCAUAAAUAAAUCUAGAUGCUAUAGAGCAAAGGACUGCGGAAAAUAGCUUUAACGAGCCCCACUCUACCGGUUUAAACCGUUUUGAGCGAUUUGAACUUUAUACUAUUAUCAAGAUAUUCAUAAUAUCUUCAUUAAUAAAAUGGUAUUCGAAAUAGAUGGCUUAAUUGUCGCCAUCUUUCUAAAGGCAAUGAAUUUCCUUUUCUGUUGUACUUUUAGAUAAUAAAAGGGUGUUAUGGAUCAUCCAGCAAAUCUUGAUCAUGAGUACUCCAGGUUUACUGGAUGGCAUGUGGUGCCUUCAAAGGUACAAACAUCCUUCCAAAGAAGUUAGAUGGUCUUUCAAGUUAGAGAUUAUUUCAGUUUUGAAGAGGUAAGCCUCACUAUGUGCUCUCCUGAAUUGAUGCAACUGUUUCUUUUAUAUCCAAAAAAAUUGCCCUCUCUAUCGAGGUUUCUCGAAAAAUUAAAUUUUUACUUCAAAUAUGAGAAUAAAAACCUAUCUUUAGGAGAACAAAAUUGAAUGAGGUAAAGUGAAAUUUAUAUUAUUAAAGAAGUAUUUAAUUAAGGGUGGUGAUAUUUCCACCCCACAAAUUCUGCAAAUCCACCCCACUUUUAAAAAAUAAUUACAAAAAAUUCUCAUUAUUUUUAAAAAUUUCAAAUAAAAAAGAAUUCAGAAGAAUUAAUCAAUUAAAUCUAUUUAAAUUUAUUUUGUUGUGACUUAGAUUUUUUUAUUAUAUUUGACUAAUAAGACUGCUUUAACCUAAAUUUAAAUUGACUAUUUUACGCUUAAAGGGUAAAAAUACCAAAAAUUUAAUUUAGCUUCAACAAUUUCUUAAUUUCAUACAAAAUUCAUUGUUUCUAAAUUGUUAAUUUUACUUUAUUAAUAUGAUUAUUAAUUUUUAAUUAAACUAACAUAAUGUUCUUAUGAGAAAAUUCUCAUUAAAUUAUUAGCCUGUCAAAUUUAUGUCAUUUACAUGUAAAAUAUUGAAAAUUAUUAGACGUCAUUUAAGAAGUGAUGGUUGUCGAAGCCAGUAAAAAUAAAUACCUACUCUAAAUAAAUUGUGUAUAGGGAUUGAGAAGGGUCGUGUCCACAGAGAUCGGUAAUUAUUUAAAUCCUUUUUAAAAUGUAAAUUGCAAAAUGGGGGGAUUGUUGACAAUAAUAAAAAUCAAAUUAAAAUAACAAGAAUGCAAAUUAAAAUUGUAAUUCAAAUUGCGAAAAGCUCUGGUUGAAGGAAUUAACUCAGCUUGAUUCAACUACUGAUAAUUUUAAAAUAACAAGAAUGCAAAUUAAAAUUGUAAUUCAAAUUGCGAAAAGCUCUGGUUGAAGGAAUUAACUCAGCUUGAUUCAACUACUGAUAAUUGAUUCAAAUAUAAAUCAUUGCUACUUAUGAAUAGACCGGUUGUAGCUACUGAGACCCUCUAAUAGCCAAUCUCUCCUUAACUAGUCGAUAACCAAGGUACGACCAUUGGUUAUUUCCCUAAUCAAUAGAUAACCCUAGAUACGAUCAUAGGAUUUAAUCAAUUGACAGCCUGAAAAACCAGAGAGACCCAAAUCCUAAUCAACAAACGCAUACGAUGGUUCAUUUAAAUUAGAUUGUUUAUUCUCAUAACACAACGCACUGCUAUGUUAUUUGUCACAAACAUUGAAAUCUUCAUACGAUGAAUCCUAUAAUUGACAAUAUAUUAAGUUGAUAAUUAAAUAGUGGCAUAUUAUCUAAUUAACAAACAUAAUCAUGACAAUAAUUUUGAGAAUAAACAAAUACCCAAAAAGUAAUAAAACAAUUAAAGCAUAAGAAAGAUCUCACAGUAAUGAUGAAUCAAAGCUUCAUUAACCUUCAACCAGAAUAAUAGGUUUAGUUCUUCAUAGAGAGAAGAGAAAAAUUUAGAUCUAGGGUUUCUUUCUUCUUCCUCUUUCCAAAGUCCCCUCCUCUCUUGUUUUUCACGUCUCCUUCCUCUUAUAGAGUUUUUCUAAAAAUAAAAUACUAACAUCUAAAAUAUUAUCUAAAUAUUAAAUUCAAAAGUACAAAAUUAACCAAAAAGACAAAACACGUUAAACUAAAAACUGCAGGUCCGUAGUUGACAGCACACCCCCACACCUUAUCAACAAAGUUCUUCUGAAGCUCAUAAUUUCUCAAGGAAAACAAUCAUCCCCAAACAUCAUCUUGUAGCUCAAUUUUAGCACCAAUCAAUAUAAUUGCACCUACAAAAAUAAAAUACAAGUAAAUCACUAUUAUUAAGUGCAAAACAUCGAUAUUAAAGGAAGUAAACAAUGCAAAACUAGUGCAUAAAUUGCACUCUAACAAGAAGUUAGAUUAAAAGUCAAAAAACUAAGUACCUAAAGUAUUAGAUACAAGAACACAUAUUUUUUUGGACAAGUGGGUCAUUUUAUGUCAUAAAGCAAAAUAAUUAAAUGGAACUUAUAUUAAAGCUACUUUAAUAGUUUUAAAAAACUAAGUAAAAAAAUAUAAGAAUGAUUUAAUUGAUUAAUUAUAUAUAUUUUUUUGUUGAUUUGUAUUUAUUAGAAAAAAAUGUGUAUUUAUUGCAAAUAUUUUGUAGAAGUGAAGGGGGUUUAGGCAAAUAAUUGGGUGGAAAUAUCCCCACCCCUUAAUUAACUAAAGGAAGAUUGUCAAUUCCUCCCCUACUGUAAUUAAUAUUUAUGAUUUGCGCCCUCAUAUUUUUAUAAUAGCCAAUAAUCCCUCAACAAUAUAAGUUUACAAUAUUACCCUUGUUUUUAAAUACACUUUUAUUCAUAUUUAUUAUAGAUUAAAUAAAUCAUGUGAAUGGAAAUUAAAAUAAAAAAAUUAAGUAUAAAAAAUAAGAAAUAUAUGUUUUCAUGUGAAAAAAAUUAAUAAUAAAAUAUUUUUCUUAUACUUUUUUUUAUUUUAUAAACAUUUUCUUAUAAUAAAUAUAUAAGAAAAUUAUUAUAAUAUGAUAAAAAAACUGCUGUACCGUAAAGAAAAUAUUUACAAAAUAAAAAAGUACAAGAAAAAAUUUUAUUAUUAAUUUUUUUGUUCACAUCAAAGCAUAUAUUUCUUGUUUUUAAUAUUUAAUUUUUUUAUUUAUUUUCUAUUCAUAUGAUUUAUUUAAUUUAUAAUAAAUAUAAAUAAAAGUAUAUUUUAAAAUAGACGUAAUAUUGUAAACUUAUGUUGUUAUGGGAGUUACUAGUUAUUAUAAAUACAACAGGGAAAUAAAUUGUAUAUAUUAAUUACAGUAGUGGGGAAAUUGAUAAUCUCCCUUAACUAAAUAUCAUCUUAAAGUAUAUGAAAACUGAAUAAGGUAAAGUAAAAUUUACAUUAUUAAAGAAGUACCAAUUAACUAAAUAUCGUAUCAAAGUAUAUGAAUAUAAAAAUCCAACUUCAUACAAAUGCUUGCAUAGCUAGAAACAUCAUAUUAACCUAUAAAAGAUAUCAAAUUAUCAAUAAGCCAUUAAGCCUCAACUUUUAAUUUCUCAUAAAGAUCAUCAUUAUCAUCAACUGAGUCCGCAAUCUUGGCUAAAACUCUCUCCCUUAUUUGCGGAUCUUCUCUUGUUAUUUUCAGCUAGGGAUUCUCUCAGGCUUUAGUUCUCCAAGAAGAAUCCAAAGAUGAAGCCGCAUUGACAAUGUAUAUCAACAAACAUCGAUCACCUAAAAAAAUAUUCCGUUGCGUAAAUAUACGGUAAAUAUAUAUAACGGGUCUUGCUAAGUUAUAUCAUAUGUAACGUAUAUCGACCAAAUUUUUUUUUUUUUUUAAUUUUUAUGACUCAAUUGUUACUUGUCACACAACUAAGGUUAUAGGACACUACUUUUAGGUCAACUACAAAUUACAUAUAAUGUAACUUAGUAGUUACCUUAAUGUAGAUUUCCCUUUGAGUAGUUAACACUAAGAAUGGUAUGCUUAAACUCCUAGCGCAUGUCAUAUUGAUAAUAUAAGAAGAUGGUUCAUUUGAGUUUGACUAAAAUGCCCUUGUGGACUUGUCGUACUAAUAUAUUUAACAACGAAAUUUAGGACUAGUUUUGUAAUGUUGUAGCUUUUAAAAUAAUUUCUAUUAGAUUUGUAGUGGACCUAAUCAAUUGUGAACAAAAUCAACUAAAUGUUCAGUAAAUUUUAUUUCUAAAAGUGUUGGGAGUAUUAAAAUUAAUUAUACAUAUUAAAUCUUAUUAUUAAAUUAUUGUUAGAGUACAAGUGACUAAAAUAGACAUAAUGUUAAGUGAAAUUUACUUCAACAAAUAGUCCAGGAUUCUAUACUUUAUUAAAGUACCAAAAAGUUAUUAAAAUAUAUGCUUUAAUAGUAUUAUAUCAUACACUAUUAAACUAUAUGGCUUAAUAGUAUUUCCAGACUUUAACAAAUCUAGGAUUCUAGAUUGGAAUAUAUAUAAUUCACCUUAAAUUUUAUUAAAUAUUAAAAAACACAUAUUAACCCUAUCUUGAAACAAUGAUAUUUGCACUAUUAGAGAAUUAUUGAUGGAAUGGAAAAUAGAGAGAAAAAGAAUUGGGAUAAAGAGCGUGCAUGAAAAAAAAAUCAAAAUGAUAAUAAUCUUAAACUUUCUGAUUUUAUUUGUUAAUUAAUUAAGGAUAAUGUUGGUCUUAUGUAAAAUAUGUAACGAUAUAGUAAAUUACCAAAAUUAAUUAUACAUAUUAAAAUUUAAAUUUUAUUUGAUGCUCAAAAUCAAAUUUUGUCACGAGUGAUUUCAAAAAGAAAAUUACCAAAAUUAAGUUUUUACUUCUUAAAUUACUUUGAAGUCUUAAUAGUAAUCUUAAAUGAGUCCUCAGUCAAGAUGAAACAAAAAUAAAUUUAAAUUAUUUUAAAAAGUCAGGUCCUCUCGUAAAAAAAAAAAGUCAGGGUCCCCCUUUAAAUUUCGUUAUUUCUAUCAAAAUUUCUGCCGUUCAGAUAAGAGUAAAAGUGUCUAGGAGCGUAUUUGCUGACCGUUGGAUGCAAAAUAUCUCACCGUCCUCCCAGUAACGUACGAUGUUCGACUGGCCUUCGACCACAAAGAAGAUAUUUGGUUUCAAAAUUUUGACCGUUCAUAUAAAGCCACCGAUCAAAUGGCUGAGUUUUGUUAUCCCCAAGUUGGACAUAAUCAAACUGCAAAAUACACGUUACUUUUGCAACCACGCUGACGUGGAAACAUAGAGUUAUGAAUCCGUUUUUGUCGAUAGCAUUGUUGAUGGCCCAGGGCCAAUGUGGUACUUAUGUAAAAUAAUUAUUAAGCUGUUUUUAGCAGUUCAACCAUUUUAAAAAUCUCAACCGAAACUUAUAGGAAGCGAAAAACCACAAUAUUUAAGAUUUUUCAAAUGUAUGCAGAGGCAACAAAAUCAAUCACACUUGUAGGGAAGAUUCCCAAUUCCAAAGUCAAUUUAAAAGAUUGGAGUAUUAUUUACCACGACGAAACCAGGAACUCCAGGGGUAUUUUGUCUACGUAGCCAUGUUGAAAAUAAUUCAACAAAUCGUAAGAAAGAUCCAAACUAACAAAAAAGUCCCCUUCUAAGUUUGCCAAAUGCUCUGCCUCCUCAGUAUCUUUUCCAGCUUCAAACCAUUUCAGAAACACGGCCAAACAUUCCUUAGAGGAAUCCACCCGAUUCCAGUUUCACAAAUUGAUUUCUUCAUCGCUUCCAUUGCCUUUUCUGUUUGAUCAUUCUGAAGAUACCCCGUUGCCAUAAGAUACCACGUCCUCACAUCAGGGUUCAGCCCCCUUGAUUGUGCAUUGUUGAUAAUAGCUUCAGCCUUCCCUAAAAGACCUUUUCUGCAAUAUGCAGCAAUCAAGGGAUUUAUAACAUGGAUACAAUAAUGUGGAUUCCCCUUGGGCCAAUUCACUUCCUCCAAAAUCGUCUCAGAAAUUUCCAGGUCGUCAAAUUUCAGCACAGAAGGAAUGACGGAGCCUGCCACCUUCCAACCGCUCGAGUUCUUUUUGCAGAAUUCCCAAACUCUUAAAACAUCGUCUUUAUUCCCAAAUUCCGCAUACUUUGAGAUAAGAAAAUCAUACGGUGGGUAUCUGUCUUGUCCACCCGUUGCCAGUCCCUCACAUUUCUUUAGCAUUGCAUGAGUCUUGUCCAGAAGCCCAGCUCUUGCAUACCCACUUGCUGCAAUAGCAUAAACUGACAAGUCUACAACAAAAUUGGGAUCCGAUUCCAUCAUUGUCACCAUCUUCUUAAUUCCCUUGCAAUCAGAAACAGCUGCAUAUGCACUCAGACGGAUGUAGAAUGUAUAAUCGUUGUAACCAAUACCCUUUUCUUCAAUUUCCAGCACCAUACUUUCAAUUUUCUCAAGUUUUCCAGUCUGAUAGUAAAGAUUAAGCAUACAAUCGUAAGCCAUUGUUUCCCUGUCUAACCCCAAAUCCCUUAAUGUCUGCAUGAUGGCUUCCGCUUUCUUCACAGACUCUGAUUUGUACACAGAAUCUAGUUUGGCAUAGCAAUAAAGCAAAGCAAUAUAAACCUCGAGAGCCCUUAAGUUUUCUGGAAUGUUACUGAAAAAAAUUUCUGCUCUUCUAUUCCCUUAUAAUGGAAAAUCAAAACCAGUCGAACAGCAAUAUCACCAGUUGUAAGUUCAAAGUAUCUUUUGUUCCACAUCGGUAUCUGGAGAAAAGAGAGAUUAUAAUAAAAGGAUUGCAAAAAAUAAAAUGAGACGACAAAAGCAUGCUAAACUGACAAACAAUACCAAACAAGUUUUGCAACAAGAUAAUUAAAAAAAAAAAUCAAUUAUCAAUAAUAGCUCAAAUUUCUUAUGCUUUCAAGGAAGCUAAAUUUGGCAGAACAUCAAAACUAUUUUACCAGCCAGUCAAUUUUCUUGAUUAAUAUAGGUACCCAAGAUAACGAGCAAGUCUUAGAAAACAAAAGCAAUAAAAUAUUACAACUAAAAUCACACAUCUGUGCGUGCUGUGAAAUGAUGUCGUGUUUGAAGGAUCCUUUGAAAAAUACACCAAGCACCCAAUUUAAUAUCAGCUGAUUUCGGUUAUGUUUAUAAAAGGUGAAAAUAUAUAAAAUAACAUUUGAUUCCAAUUCCAUAAUGCAAAAUCAUUAAAACACAGAGAAGUAAAGACUGAUGCAAUUGAUAACCCAAAUGGAAAAAAAAAAAAAUGAAAUCUGAUGAUUUAAUAAAUACCUCGAGAGCAUCCAAGUAACAUGCUUUGUUUAGCAACAGAUCCAUAUUGAACUCAAUGUCAUCUUUGCCUACGUCUUCUCCCAUUUUAGCCAUUUCAUCGAGCUCCUCAAACACCCAGACUGCCGGGCUUCCGACAGUCCGACUGGGGAGAUCUUUUCCGUUGAACCCCAAAAAGCACUUGUUGUUUGGUCUCGUGUUGUUGUUGUUGACAGCCGGGAAGCUCCCAAUAAACGACAAAAGCAUGCUAAACUGACAAACAAUACCAAACAAGUUUUGCAACAAGAUAAUUAAAAAAAAAAAUCAAUUAUCAAUAAUAGCUCAAAUUUCUUAUGCUUUCAAGGAAGCUAAAUUUGGCAGAACAUCAAAACUAUUUUACCAGCCAGUCAAUUUUCUUGAUUAAUAUAGGUACCCAAGAUAACGAGCAAGUCUUAGAAAACAAAAGCAAUAAAAUAUUACAACUAAAAUCACACAUCUGUGCGUGCUGUGAAAUGAUGUCGUGUUUGAAGGAUCCUUUGAAAAAUACACUAAUGAUGUAGGAAACCAAGCACCCAAUUUAAUAUCAGCUGAUAUUUCCGUUAUGUUUAUAAAAGGUGAAAAUAUAUAAAAUAACAUUUGAUUCCAAUUCCAUAAUGCAAAAUCAUUAAAACACAGAGAAGUAAAGACUGAUGCAAUUGAUAACCCAAAUGGAAAAAAAAAAAAAUGAAAUCUGAUGAUUUAAUAAAUACCUCGAGAGCAUCCAAGUAACAUGCUUUGUUUAGCAACAGAUCCAUAUUGAACUCAAUGUCAUCUUUGCCUACGUCUUCUCCCAUUUUAGCCAUUUCAUCGAGCUCCUCAAACACCCAGACUGCCGGGCUUCCGACAGUCCGACUGGGGAGAUCUUUUCCGUUGAACCCCAAAAAGCACUUGUUGUUUGGUCUCGUGUUGUUGUUGUUGACAGCCGGGAAGCUCCCAAUAAGUUUGCAUGACUAAAUUGGGUUUUCUUAAUCCUGUGCAAAAUAGCACCCAACCGUAACAUCAGUGCAGCCUACUGAGAUAUUGUACAUGGAAGAAGAAAGUGAUAGCCGAUUGUUAUAAAAUAUAUAUCCAAAGGUUUCUUGGGAAAGAAGCAAUCAAUGACUGUCAGUUAUGGGGGUAAAUUUGUAAUUGUAAUCGACGACAGUUUUUACGGUUUAUUAUAUUUUGUUUUCGAUUGAAAGCGAAAAGGCUAUAGUUGAACUAAGUCAAAUUAAAUAUCACGUUGAAAGUAUUACAAUCAGACCUCUACUUAUAUCAUUUGAUAUAUACAUCAUAAUUAGAGCACCACUCAUAUAUUUACAAUUAAAUUUUUAUUGAGAUCAACCUACAUUAAUUCUGUUGUGACACACUUCAAACUAAUUACACAAUAUUUACAAUCAGCUAUUUAUGGUGAUUGAUCAAAAUCAAUUUCAUUAUUGCACAGCCCAACCCAAGUAUUGUAAUAUUUACAGGCGUAAGAGUAGCUGGGAUGCACGGGUUAGGUGACAGUGGGCUCAGAGUCAGUUUCAUUAUAAGCUUCUUCUAAUAUUUAAGAUCUAUUUGCUAUAAUAAUAAUUUUACUUCGUUGAGAUAUUUAAUAUGUAUACCAACAGAUGUGUAAGUGAUUAUGUUGUAUUAUUUGAUUGGUUCAAGUGAACUUAACUACUCAGUCUUAUCAUUUCAUAUCUAAAUGAUAAAUUUAUAUUGGUGACACAUUAAUUAGUACACCAAUUAAGAAUCCUAACUAAAUGAAUAUAACAUUUCGUUACUCAUGAAGCAUAGUUAUAGUGGAUAUUUCACUCUCAUUUCUCCACAUCAUCCUCCACUUCUCAAUUCACCCCACUAAAAAUUUUAAAAUAAUUUUUUUAUCACUCAAUUUAUCCUGUCUAAUCCUCACUUUACUCUUAUGACAAUUUUUAUCCUCUUCUCAUACACUCCACCGUAUAAAACUUUAAAAAUCUGCUUUAAAAACGAAAAGGGACUCUUUGAUAAUCUCUGUGGGUUCAUUAUCAGUGCAGCCGUGGGUUUCUUUCAAAUAUUAAAAAUGUUUCUCAAUUAUAAUCUCCCAAAUUGCCAUCGUAGAACAAAAACACUCAACAAAAGCCAAAAAAAUAAAAAUAAUAAUAAAUGCUUGAUAGAAAGUGGAUUAGAUUAACAAAAGAAACGAAACAUAACAUUGCAUUUUUCGCCUUGAAAAUGGAAUUGAAAGGCCCUCUCAAUUUGUUUCUCUACCUCUGUUAUAACAGGAAUGACAUUUUCGAAAAAAUGAUUAUAAAAUAAUGUAAUGAAGAAUCUCUUUGAAUCUAGCUGUUGGAGAUCUUCUAAUCUAACCUCUCUUUAUAAUUUAUUAUGAUAUUUAAUUAGAGCAAAGUUUAGACCAGACUUUACAGAUUGUUAACUUUAAACAUUCAUUGCAUACUUUGCUGUUUGUAGGGUGAAGAAAGGAAGUGAAAAUAUUAAUCCUAUUACUGUUACACCUCAUAAAAUAUUAAAGGUUUCAUAAAUACCCAACAAGUUACCAACUCUAGAAACUGGAUAAAAAAAAUUUACGAGUAACAUUGUUUGGUUUUGAAAAUAAAAAAUAAGACUGUAAGUUCCCAAUUGAAAAAAUGAAAAAUAAAAACAAAUCAGUUGCAUAUUCUAUUGCUUGAAGAUUAUCAAUUAAGAGCAUGAAUUGGAUUCUAGCACAUAACUCUCUAGUAAGGAUAAGAGAAAAUUCUCUUUUUAAAAAAAAUACUAUUUCAUUUAAAGGUAUCAUAGUGAUAUUUUGUUAAAGAGAGGCUUAAAUAUCACUUUAACAAAAAUAGAAUUAUAUAGAAUGAAGUUCUGUGAUAAAGAAUUAAAUUGUGUGAGAUAUAAUAAGAUAUAAACAAAAGACUGUUUUGAUACAUAAAAGAGUAUAGAAUAAAAAUUAAUUAUAAAAUUUAUUAAAUGAGUGUAAAAAUCAAAUGAUAUUCAAAAUUAAAUGUAGAGUGCAAAUAAUUCAUUCUAAGAUUAUCUUUAUCGUCUUAAUGUUGCACUAAUCAGUGUCCUUAUAAAAGUCAAAAUUCUCUCGAAUUUUCAUAUUAAAAUUGAUAUUUUAAAGCACACAAUUACAGUACAGUACAUCCUGAGGAUUAUUUAUACAUGAAUUUCUCGUUAAAACACAGACCAGCUGAGUCUACAGCAGAGAAAAGAAACAAAAAUGUAAUAGCUAGAAAUCAGUUAAUCUAAAUCUAUAUAAUAUGGGGACCAAAGCAACAGUUAUUGGGAGUUCUCUGGUGGAGCCUUCGAUUCUGGAGCUGGCAAAUAAUCAGCCACUGAUCACAGUUCCUCCACGUUAUGUUCGCGCUGAGAUAGACCAUCCCCUGAUUCGCAACGACGAUUCUUCAACACGACAACUUCCAGUCAUUGACAUGCACAGGCUGCUCUCUGGGGAUGACUCAGAGCUUGAGAAGCUUGAGCAUGCAUGUAAAGACUGGGGUUUCUUUCAGGUACAUAAUAAUUGAGCAGUGAUAUUCAGAUAAUAAAAAUACUUGAUCGCAAAUCAUUGCUUUUGUUAGCGUUCUUUCGGCUCUCGGUGUUUUUAGCAUUUUCCAUAAAAAUCAUUUUAUUUCCUGAGCUUUAAGUUUCCUAUAAGAACCAUGUAUGGAAAGAACAGCUUGUUUUAAUCUGCAUAUAUGCAGUUGAUGAAUCAUGGAGUGAGCAGUUCAUUGGUGGAGAAAGUGAAAGAAGGAUUCAAGACUUCUUUAAUCUUCCAAUUGAUGAGAAAAAGAAAUUUUGGCAGCAGCCAGGGGAUAUUGAGGGAUUUGGGCAGCUUUUUAUUACGUCUGAAGAGCAGAAGCUUGAUUGGGGAUACGGCUUUACUAUGUUCACUCUCCCAACCCAUCUGAGGAAACCC